CGCACAUUGCGCCCGUUAGCAUUCUAGCAGGCAUGCCUGUUCGAGCGUCAUUUCAACCCUCAGGCCCUGGCUUGCCUGGCGUUGGGGCACUAGCACGCUGCGUGCUAGGCUUCGAAAAGCAGUGGCGGGCCCGCGGGUACCCCGAACGUAGUGAACUUUGCUUUCGUUUAGGGCGUGGCCGCGGCGCGCAGCCGUUAAAAUACCUCACUAAAAGGUUGACCUCGGAUCAGGUAGGAAUACCCGCUGAACUUAA
rnacentral:misc_RNA from 1 species